AGCGUACACGGUGGAUGCCCUGGCAGUCAGAGGCGAUGAAGGACGUGCUAAUCUGCGAUAAGCGUCGGUGAGGUGAUAUGAACCGUUAUAACCGGCGAUUUCCGAAUGGGGAAACCCAGUGUGUUUCGACACACUAUCAUUAACUGAAUCCAUAGGUUAAUGAGGCGAACCGGGGGAACUGAAACAUCUAAGUACCCCGAGGAAAAGAAAUCAACCGAGAUUCCCCCAGUAGCGGCGAGCGAACGGGGAGGAGCCCAGAGCCUGAAUCAGUGUGUGUGUUAGUGGAAGCGUCUGGAAAGGCGCGCGAUACAGGGUGACAGCCCCGUACACAAAAAUGCACAUAUUGUGAGCUCGAUGAGUAGGGCGGGACACGUGGUAUCCUGUCUGAAUAUGGGGGGACCAUCCUCCAAGGCUAAAUACUCCUGACUGACCGAUAGUGAACCAGUACCGUGAGGGAAAGGCGAAAAGAACCCCGGCGAGGGGAGUGAAAAAGAACCUGAAACCGUGUACGUACAAGCAGUGGGAGCCUCUUUAUGGGGUGACUGCGUACCUUUUGUAUAAUGGGUCAGCGACUUAUAUUCUGUAGCAAGGUUAACCGAAUAGGGGAGCCGAAGGGAAACCGAGUCUUAACUGGGCGUUAAGUUGCAGGGUAUAGACCCGAAACCCGGUGAUCUAGCCAUGGGCAGGUUGAAGGUUGGGUAACACUAACUGGAGGACCGAACCGACUAAUGUUGAAAAAUUAGCGGAUGACUUGUGGCUGGGGGUGAAAGGCCAAUCAAACCGGGAGAUAGCUGGUUCUCCCCGAAAGCUAUUUAGGUAGCGCCUCGUGAAUUCAUCUCCGGGGGUAGAGCACUGUUUCGGCAAGGGGGUCAUCCCGACUUACCAACCCGAUGCAAACUGCGAAUACCGGAGAAUGUUAUCACGGGAGACACACGGCGGGUGCUAACGUCCGUCGUGAAGAGGGAAACAACCCAGACCGCCAGCUAAGGUCCCAAAGUCAUGGUUAAGUGGGAAACGAUGUGGGAAGGCCCAGACAGCCAGGAUGUUGGCUUAGAAGCAGCCAUCAUUUAAAGAAAGCGUAAUAGCUCACUGGUCGAGUCGGCCUGCGCGGAAGAUGUAACGGGGCUAAACCAUGCACCGAAGCUGCGGCAGCGACACUAUGUGUUGUUGGGUAGGGGAGCGUUCUGUAAGCCUGUGAAGGUGGCCUGUGAGGGUUGCUGGAGGUAUCAGAAGUGCGAAUGCUGACAUAAGUAACGAUAAAGCGGGUGAAAAGCCCGCUCGCCGGAAGACCAAGGGUUCCUGUCCAACGUUAAUCGGGGCAGGGUGAGUCGACCCCUAAGGCGAGGCCGAAAGGCGUAGUCGAUGGGAAACAGGUUAAUAUUCCUGUACUUGGUGUUACUGCGAAGGGGGGACGGAGAAGGCUAUGUUGGCCGGGCGACGGUUGUCCCGGUUUAAGCGUGUAGGCUGGUUUUCCAGGCAAAUCCGGAAAACCAAGGCUGAGGCGUGAUGACGAGGCACUACGGUGCUGAAGCGACAAAUGCCCUGCUUCCAGGAAAAGCCUCUAAGCAUCAGGUAACAUCAAAUCGUACCCCAAACCGACACAGGUGGUCAGGUAGAGAAUACCAAGGCGCUUGAGAGAACUCGGGUGAAGGAACUAGGCAAAAUGGUGCCGUAACUUCGGGAGAAGGCACGCUGAUAUGUAGGUGAAGCGACUUGCUCGUGGAGCUGAAAUCAGUCGAAGAUACCAGCUGGCUGCAACUGUUUAUUAAAAACACAGCACUGUGCAAACACGAAAGUGGACGUAUACGGUGUGACGCCUGCCCGGUGCCGGAAGGUUAAUUGAUGGGGUUAGCGGUAACGCGAAGCUCUUGAUCGAAGCCCCGGUAAACGGCGGCCGUAACUAUAACGGUCCUAAGGUAGCGAAAUUCCUUGUCGGGUAAGUUCCGACCUGCACGAAUGGCGUAAUGAUGGCCAGGCUGUCUCCACCCGAGACUCAGUGAAAUUGAACUCGCUGUGAAGAUGCAGUGUACCCGCGGCAAGACGGAAAGACCCCGUGAACCUUUACUAUAGCUUGACACUGAACAUUGAGCCUUGAUGUGUAGGAUAGGUGGGAGGCUUUGAAGUGUGGACGCCAGUCUGCAUGGAGCCGACCUUGAAAUACCACCCUUUAAUGUUUGAUGUUCUAACGUUGGCCCGUAAUCCGGGUUGCGGACAGUGUCUGGUGGGUAGUUUGACUGGGGCGGUCUCCUCCUAAAGAGUAACGGAGGAGCACGAAGGUUGGCUAAUCCUGGUCGGACAUCAGGAGGUUAGUGCAAUGGCAUAAGCCAGCUUGACUGCGAGCGUGACGGCGCGAGCAGGUGCGAAAGCAGGUCAUAGUGAUCCGGUGGUUCUGAAUGGAAGGGCCAUCGCUCAACGGAUAAAAGGUACUCCGGGGAUAACAGGCUGAUACCGCCCAAGAGUUCAUAUCGACGGCGGUGUUUGGCACCUCGAUGUCGGCUCAUCACAUCCUGGGGCUGAAGUAGGUCCCAAGG
rnacentral:rRNA from 1 species